UCAGUGCCGCAGUUAACACAAUAAGUAAUCCACCUGGGGAGUACGACCGCAAGGUUGAAACUCAAAGGAAUUGACGGGGGCCCGCACAAGCAGUGGAGUAUGUGGUUUAAUUCGACGCAACGCGAAGAACCUUACCAAGUCUUGACAUCCCUUGACGAUGCUGGAAACAGUAUUUCUCUUCGGAGCAAGGAGACAGGUGGUGCAUGGUUGUCGUCAGCUCGUGUCGUGAGAUGUUGGGUUAAGUCCCGCAACGAGCGCAACCCUUAUGGUCAGUUACUACGCAAGAGGACUCUGGCCAGACUGCCGUUGACAAAACGGAGGAAGGUGGGGAUGACGUCAAAUCAUCAUGCCCUUUAUGACUUGGGCUACACACGUACUACAAUGGCGUUAAACAAAGAGAAGCAAGACCGCGAGGUGGAGCAAAACUCAGAAACAACGUCCCAGUUCGGACUGCAGGCUGCAACUCGCCUGCACGAAGUCGGAAUUGCUAGUAAUCGUGGAUCAGCAUGCCACGGUGAAUACGUUCCCGGGCCUUGUACACACGGCCCGUC
rnacentral:rRNA from 1 species